AUGUCUGACUCUAAACUUCCAAACUUCCAGGGAGGUGCAGAGCAUGCGUCAAAUGCCGCCGUUACUGCAUUGUCGGGGGCAAACAUCGUGUAUGAGUCCG
rfam:marine gamma proteobacterium HTCC2148 scf_1106774214166 genomic scaffold, whole genome shotgun sequence.